rnacentral:rRNA from 1 species
AGUUGCAAUCAUACCAACACUAAUGCACUGGAUCUCAUCAGAACCUCGUAGUUAAGCGUGCUUAGGUGAGAGUAUUACUAGGAUGGGUGACCUUCUGGGAAGUCCUCGUGUUACACUUU